rnacentral:rRNA from 1 species
GGGAAAGGAGCAAUCCGCUGAUAGAUGGGCUUGCGUCUGAUUAGAUAGUUGGUGGGGUAACGGCCUACCAAGUCGACGAUCAGUAGCCGGACUGAGAGGUUGAACGGCCACAUUGGGACUGAGAUACGGCCCAGACUCCUACGGGAGGCAGCAGUCGGGAAUAUUGCGCAAUGGAGGAAACUCUGACGCAGUGACGCCGCGUGCAGGAAGAAGGUUUUCGGAUUGUAAACUGCUUUAGACAGGGAAGAUACAAGACAGUACCUGUAGAAUAAGCUCCGGCUAACUACGUGCCAGCAGCCGCGGUAAUACGUAGGGAGCAAGCGUUAUCCGGAUUUAUUGGGUGUAAAGGGUGCGUAGACGGGAAUGCAAGUUGGUUGUGAAAUCCCUCGGCUUAACUGAGGAACUGCAACCAAAACUACAUUUCUUGAGUGCUGGAGAGGAAAGUGGAAUUCCUAGUGUAGCGGUGAAAUGCGUAGAUAUUAGGAGGAACACCAGUGGCGAAGGCGACUUUCUGGACAGUAACUGACGUUGAGGCACGAAAGUGUGGGGAGCAAACAGGAUUAGAUACCCUGGUAGUCCACACCGUAAACGAUGGAUACUAGGUGUAGGGGAUGAAUAAUCUUCUGUGCCGUCGCAAACGCAGUAAGUAUCCCACCUGGGGAGUACGGCCGCAAGGUUGAAACUCAAAGGAAUUGACGG